CAAUAGCGUAUACUAAAGUUGUUGCAGUUAAAAAGCUCGUAGUUGAAUUUCUGGUCGUGAAACGUGGUCCGUUCCGCAAGGAAUGUGUACUGUCGAUUUAUGUCCAUCCUCGGUGUUAGUAUGCAUUACUUUAAUCGGUCGUGUAUACAACCACCGUCAUUUACUGUGAGCAAAAUAGAGUGUUCAAAGCAGGCUUAUGCCGUUGAAUAUAUUAGCAUGGAAUAAUAAGAUAUGACUUUGGUUCUAUUUUGUUUGGUUUGUCACUCCAAAGUAAUGAUUAAUAGGGAUAGUUGGGGGUAGUUCGUAUUCAAUUGUCAGAGGUGAAAUUCUUGGAUUUAUGGAGACGAACUACUGCGAAAGCAUUUACCUAAGGAUGUUUUCUAUUAA
rnacentral:rRNA from 1 species